rnacentral:rRNA from 1 species
CAUCACUACGCUAGAUGCAUAUCAAUAAGCGGAGGAAAAGAAACUAACAAGGAUUCCCCUAGUAACGGCGAGUGAAGCGGGAAGAGCUCAAAUUUGAAAUCUUAAAGGGUUUCCCUUUACGAAUUGUAGUUUAAAGAAGUGUUUUCUGUUGGAGUUUCGGUAAAAGUUCUUUGGAAUAGGACAUCAUAGAGGGUGAGAAUCCCGUAUUUGACCGUUACUUUCCAGCUGUGUGAUACACUUUCAAAGAGUCGGAUUGUUUGGGAAUGCAGUCCAAAAUGGGUGGUAAAUUUCAUCUAAAGCUAAAUAUUGGCGAGAGACCGAUAGCGAACAAGUACCGUGAGGGAAAGAUGAAAAGAACUUUGAAAAGAGAGUUAAACAGUACGUGAAAUUGUCAAAAGGGAAGCGUUUGACACCAGUGUUGUUUAGCUUGAAAAUCAAUUCAAUAAUUUUUGAUUUUGAGUAGUAUUGACUUCAUCAGCUUGCUGCUUUCUUUUCGAAAUUAUUGAAUGCACUUUUCAGUUAACAAGUCAACAUCAAUUUCUUUUGUUGUAAAAGGGUAAGAGGAAGGUGGCUUACGCUUCGGCGUAAGUGUUUAUAGCCUUUUACCUCUGCAAUCGGAGAGAUUGAGGACAGCAGCGUAGACUCCUUCGGGGGUUAGAUACACUUGUGCUAAGCUAUAGCCUUGUAUAGACAACUUGUUGACUAUGCUCAGUCAUGUAGCUUACUCGCUUGUGCUAUUUUACCUACGCUUAGGAUGUUGACACACGCGCGUGCUCG